GGGCGGGUACCGAAGUGGUCAAACGGGGCUGACUGUAAAUCAGCUGGCGUCGCCUACAGAGGUUCGAAUCCUCUCCCGCCCA
rnacentral:tRNA from 1 species